rnacentral:rRNA from 1 species
UACGUAGGUGGCGAGCGUUGUCCGGAUUUACUGGGCGUAAAGAGCGCGCAGGCGGUCGUACAAGUCGCGUGUGAAAGCCCCCGGCUCAACUGGGGAGGGUCACGCGAUACUGUUCGACUCGAAGGCAGGAGAGGGUAGUGGAAUUCCCGGUGUAGUGGUGAAAUGCGUAGAUAUCGGGAGGAACACCAGUGGCGAGGGCGACUACCUGGCCUGUUCUUGACGCUGAGGCGCGAAAGCUAGGGGAGCAAACGGG